AUUGAACGCUGGCGGCAAGCCUAACACAUGCAAGUCGAACGAGUGGCGGACGGGUGUGGAAUGUCUGGGACACUGCCUGAUGGAGGGGGAUAACUACUGGAAACGGUAGCUAACACCGCAUACCAACGGAUGCGCCCAGAUGGGAUUCGAUAGUAGGUGGGGUAAAGGCUCACCUAGGCGACGAUCCCUCGCUGGUCUGAGAGGAUGACCAGCCACACUGGAACUGAGACACGGUCCAGACUCCUACGGGAGGCAGCAGUGGGGAAUAUUGCACAAUGGGCGCAAGCCUGAUGCAGCCAUGCCGCGUGUAUGAAGAAGGCCUUCGGGUUGUAAAGUACUUUCAGCGGGGAGGCGUUACCCGCAGAAGAAGCACCGGCUAACUCCGUGCCAGCAGCCGCGGUAAUUC
rnacentral:rRNA from 1 species